rnacentral:rRNA from 1 species
UACAGAGGUCUCAAGCGUUGUUCGGAUUCAUUGGGCGUAAAGGGUGCGUAGGUGGCGCGCUAAGUCAGGUGUGAAAUUUCGGAGCUUAACUCCGAAACUGCAUUUGAUACUGGCGUGCUUGAGGACUGGAGAGGAGACUGGAAUUCACGGUGUAGCAGUGAAAUGCGUAGAUAUCGUGAGGAAGACCAGUGGCGAAAGGCGGGUCUCUGGACAGUUCCGUGACGCUGAGGGCACGAAAGGUCAGGGGAG